rnacentral:tRNA from 1 species
AGAAGUGUAGCUCUGUGGUAGAGCACUUGCCUAGCACAUAGGAGACCCUGGGUUCCAUCCUCUGUGCUGCUU